UCGAGGCCGGGGGGGCGGCUCCGGCCCCGGGUCGGUCCCGCCGGGGUCGGCCUGUCCCCGCUCCGCUGGCGGGAGCGACGCCGCCCGCACCGCCGGAGGGGACGGAGCUGGCAGAGAGAGCUUUAAGCCGCUGCUAAGUACAUGAAGAGCAACAGUUCGUGACCGGGGUUCAAAACCCUGCGGGAAGCCCGGUGUACUGAGAGAGGCACGUUAGAUGACAUUCCUGACUGGAACAGAUACAACUGCAGUGUGAAUGGAGAGUUAUCCUCAUAUGGCUGCAAGCACGCAAUGCUGAUGUGGAAGUUAAGUGUCCUCAGCCACCCCUUCUCUCCCUGCAGUGAAGUCACCCUGUGUACAGAGCUAUGGCUGCACUAAUGUUGCUCACAGUUGUGUUGCUGUAACCAGGCUGGUACAGUUGUGAGUGCUAGAACAUAUGCCUAAAUAGCUACAAAACCCUUGGCUAGGAAGAGAAAGUCCUGUUUCACCCCUUGCAUUAUCACUGCAGGGUAGUUGAUGACAGAAAGCAAAGCUUGCUGUGGUCUGUAGAAAUGACACUGACAGUCUGGUAAAUAUGAGUUUCAUCAGACAAGUUGAGCUAUGUGGUGACAAAUUUCAUCAGCUACUAUGCCCUGCAGCACUAAAAUGUUAGCUCCCUUUCCCAUCCUGCUCAGUUUGCUCUUCAUUGGCUCUUGUAAGCAGAAAUCAUUACAUUUAGCAAGACAUACCUGCUUUUUUUAAAAAGUGCUUUCUACAUGUUGACUUCAGACUUUGUACUAGAGGUGUUUGCGUUGCUGAAAUAUUAAAAAAAGCAAAUGGAAAGACUAAGAAAAUAUUUUCUGAAAUGUUUAAAAUGUAAUUUUUCCUUAAGAGUCAGUGUUCCACUGAAUAGUUAUGUAACAAUAUUUAAAUGCAGUCUUUUCUUGUUAGGCAUAAUGAAUAUAAUGUGAAGCUACAUCAAAAGACAGAAACAUGCUACCAUGAAACAAACCCUUGUGAGUCCUGUGAUUCUUAGGAAAUCAUGUUUGGCUGAAAUUUAAUUUCUUUUAAGUUUUGUUACAAAGUCAAAAGCAAAAAAUUAAAAGUGCGAAGUAGACAUAGAUCUCCUCAUGCUUGAAGGUCCACUUCCACAUCUCAGUGUCUUUUAAUAGUGUUAGACCAAGUUCCAGCAGGGAUUCACUCUCUGCUAGAUCUCCAAUCCUCUCAAGAGCAUUAGGCUUAGUGCCAGCAUUCAUUUACUUUGUAACAGCUUAAAUUAACUCCUGUUACAUUCUAUCUAAACCCUUUCUUACAGAGUAAGAGUUGAGAGCUGGAUUCAGUCACCUGGUCUGAGGGUCACCCAUCACGCUCGUCCAUCUUUCAGGGUUUCAAGUGCUGCAUAAGCUGGGCUCAGGAAGGCGAUGAUCAGCCACUGGUAAAUUGAAGGAGGGGCUGGCAAGCCAUCUUUUGUAUACAUGUCCCUGUUUCCUGAGGAAGAGCGUGGGGGUAGUCUGACUUAUUUACCAUAAGUACAUAUGACAGUAAGCUCCAAAAAAUUGUAAGAUUUGAGUAGGCUAGGCACUGUGCUAACAGUAUUUUGAUACUUUCCUGGAGGAGCUGAACAGACAAGCUAACUGAAAGACGGGAAAUAUCACUGCUUGGUUUUGCAGGUCAAGAACUGGACUGUAGAUUAUAUUUUGCCCAAACUCAGAUAGAAGACUGAAACAAAAUGUCUCACAAAGCGAGGCCUUCUUUAGCCCCUUCAAAAUUACAUUGGUCCUCUUAAGAAUAUCACUUAUAUUUUACUUUAACGGACAUGAGAGCAAUCUGUCUGACUGUGAUUACAAGGCAAACGCUCUGAAACAGGUAAGGAUAUAAGCACAAGGAAGACAAGUUUUCCUAAAAGUGAUAACACAAAAUAAGCACACUUAGAAAAGUACAGGAUAGUUGGUUAGAACUGAACAGUCAUUAAAGUUGGCCAGCUGAUACCUUGAUCUCUAUCCAGAGUCUCCAAAGUCCUGUACCAAGGUCUUCAUGAUGAAGGCUGAGAGUUGGCUUCAGGGACUUAUGAAGCUCUUUUGUAUUCUAGAAAGACUAUUAUUGGUAAAAUAUUUAGAACCUUUAAAGGUCAUCUAAUCCCCACCCCCCCCCCUCCAAUGAGCAGGAACAUAUUCAGCUAGGUCAGGUUGCUCAGAGCCCUUUUCAACCUUACCUUGAGUAUUUGCAUAAUUUUUACCCAUCCCUCUCCACAAGAAAAAAACCCCAAACAAACAACAAAUAGAGGAGAGAUCAGUUUCAAGGAUGCUGAAAUACCUUUUUCUGAUGAAUAAGUUUUAAGAUGACAAUGUGCUGUUAGUUUACAGAAAGUCCAGUUGUUUUGUAUGCUUUCGAGAUGAUGGAAAUGGAACUAAUUAUCAGGCAGUCAACAUUCAUCCACUAGUAAAAGUGAAAAUAAAUGUGAACAUUUCGUGGCUAGAUAACACUGUUCAGUCAUAAAUAAGAGUUCACAGCCAUCUUUGCAUUUAGGAGUACACUAUAAAUAUGGCUUAUCUUCAAAUAUUUUCAACUUGCUGGAGUUACUUGAAAGCUUAUCAUGAUAGAGUCCAUUUAAAAGGAAAAGAAUUAAAAUUUAUCUAAGAUAUGUGUCCCCAAAUACCUCUCAUAGCAUUCAUUUAUAUUGACCUUUCUAACAUACUGUCUUCCCACACUCUUUGUAUAUAGUUAGCUGAAAAAACACCUUGCUGGCAUUUGUUAAAAGUUCCCUAAAACUUCAGAAUUACUUUUUUUCAGUCAAGUUUAAAAAUCAGAGAAAAAAAGUUAAAAGCAAAAUUCUUACUUUAAAAAAAAUAAAUGUGAGAAUGGAAAAUACCAGUAAUGUAAUUGGAAAGAUUUUAAAAUACAGUUUCUAAGUUGUCAGCGACCCUUUUGUGAUAAAUAUUUGAUUCAUAAAAGAAAUGUUACGCAGACUUUUAAAACACUGCUUUUAUGAAUAAAUGCAGGUCAGAAAAUAAAAUGAAAAAUGCAGCUCAAAACUGAUAUUGUCUUGUGAAAGACUAUGCAUUUUUUUUAAUUUGAAAAAUAUAUUUGCUAUGACUUUCCACGUAAGGCUGUAGGUCUCAAUUUUGUGACAAGUUACAUAUAUUAUGCCUAAUUUUAAGCAUUUUGGAAAGUUUUGUUGUCUGAAGCAAGUCUACUUUGACUGCAUAAAAUUAGCUGUAUACAUAAAUCUUUGAAGAGUGGGGACUUUCUUGCCAUUAGAUAAGAACUGUUGCUCAACUUCUACUUUAUCUUUUAAAGAUAACAUCCCAUGGCAAUUUUGCAACAAUAACAGAAGUUCCCUGAAAAUGCUUUAAGUAAUGGAAUUACAUUAUGUAUUUUAACUAUUAUAUUUUCCUCCUUUUUCCAGCUGAAUAAGUUAUACUUCAUUUUUCUUCCUUUCCAAACAUUCUUCUGUGGUGUUGCUAGUGCUGAUUAAAAAGGCAGACCUAUAUCUAAGUGAAAUCCUAUAAUUUUGACUUUUUACCCGUCUUUUUAUACACAUACCUAUGUGUACAUAUUUAUAUAUGUAUUUUGCCUAUAAUAUAUUAAUCAUAGGUUUUCCUGAAAUCAUAUGUAAAUAUAAAAUUUUAUUGCAGCGACUUUACUGUAUUUCAGGGCGCGUUUCUUCUCUUUUCUUUCAUUAUCUGAAAUCAGUGUGAGCAUUGCAAUCAAUUUUAAUUAUACCAGUAUUUUACCCUGAGUUUUAUAGGAAGAGCUGGCAGCAACAACUAUAGUUAAGGUUGCUUAAGACUUUCCACUGUAUAGAUUCUGUACUUAAAAAAGAGAGGGAUAGAAAUUGUACAUAAGAGUACAAUAAAACAUGUUAAGAUUAGCAAAGUUAAUUUUAUCUGUGUUACUUGAAAAACUAGAAGGAUUUAUUAGGGACUCUGACUUUAUAUUUUUAAAUGCAAUGUGACUGAGACUGAUAUAAUUUUAAAUAAUUAUUGUUAUGAAGUUCAAAAAAUACUAUAAAGAUGGCAAAGACAUUACUUCACAGUAUUACUUAAGAAACAAUUAUAGAAUUAUCAGUAUUUUAACCUGUAAAAUAUUUUUAAAAUAUAUGUUUUCUGGAAAUGUUGAAGUAGAAAAUGUAUCGUAUACCUUCUUGUUUCUUUUCCCAGACCACUCUCUAAAGCUACUAUUAAUAACACGUUGCAGUGCUACUGUGAUUUAUUAAUGCAAGUUACCUUAAUUAUAACAUCUUUAGUACUGCUGAAGAUGGUGAAUUAUAUAUAAUCAUUUCUGUGAAAAAGAAAGGAAUUAUAAAACUCUAAAUUACUGUUUUCUGUAAUGUAUUCCAUUAUUUCAAGUAGUGUUUUCUCCUUUUGCUCACAAUACUAUUUAUGAGCUUUGGUUGCACCUACUUUUGUGUAAGCAGGGGAAGGCAUGAUUAUUUUUCAAAUAUGUAUGUUUAGUAACUAAACUUAGUAUAGGGUCCAAUCUAAGCUAAUAGAAUGAGUGUAUGGUAGACACAUACCUUCACUAUAAAAGAUUCUGUCAUCCUUUCCUAAAAGAUUUAAAAGUCCUAAUACAAAGUUCAUUGUAGUCAGCAGAAUCUCUUUCCAUAGGUUUCUGCAUUUGGCAGUUGCAGAGCUGAAAAACAGCUUUGCUAUCUGUGUAAAUAUUGUGGGCAGUCUUUGUAUAUUUGCUAGUGAGGAAUUCCUCAGUCUGUAGCUACAUCAAACGUGACUGUUGGAUCCACUCACAAAGGCUUAGUAAUAGUGGCAUUAAUAAAAUCUCUGAAGGAACUAUGGACAGAGCUGCUCUUUGGGGAAUGGUCCCCACUUGGCACCAUUCAGGCAGGAGCUGUUGGCUGAGUACACCCAGAGAGGUUUUUAGUCCAUUACAGAACCCUUUUCUAAAGAAGGGAAGUGUCUUGAAGGAACUUGAGGGAGUUGGUACUCUGCAAUAUUUGAAUUGCAUGUGUCCAAGGAGGCAUAAACUAUACAAAGAGCAAAAAGCUGAGAUACACAGACUGUCUCAUUUUCACAAGGGUUAGGAAGUCUCCUGUUCACGUGACAUUUACAGUGUUUAUGGGUCUCAUGUUCCCGCAUCUUAGGUAUAGAUUCUCUGUAUCUGGUCUGUAAUGGAGAGAUUAAGUUGGAGCAGCCCAGAGCAUAGCUAGAACACCUGCAUGAUGGGGGUUCUGGUCCCUGAGCUCUCGUUUAUGUAGCACAAAAGAUGUACCCCUACAGUAUUGGUAGGAUCCACAGCAAAACAGCUGUAACUUCAUUUCUGAGGAAAGGAGACUGGUGAGAUUAAACCAUGUGCGAUGGAGGUUUUCGCUGAAAGGCAGGAGUAUGUAAGACAUGGCUAAGAUUCAUCCCACUAAAAAUAAAUGUGUACAUACAGGUUCUGCACCUGAAUUUAUCACCUUAUGCUCUCACUAAUGGGGGGAAGUGUGCAUCUCUGUGUCAUGAUUUGUCUCAUUCCGAGAUGGGUGUUUAAAGUGGCUCAGUUGAGUCUCAACCAAAGAUAUAUCCAUAUCACUCUUUCUGGCUUUAAGGGGAACUGAGAUAAUAUUUAUUCAGCUGUAAAUAUCUGUAAACUGCUUUUCUUUUCUGCUUAUGGUUGCUGUAGAGAUUCUUGAAAAGGAACUCUUGCAGAUCUGGAUAUCAAACCUGCUGGGCACAUAUGCUGUCAGAGUUGGCAACAAAAGAGAUACUCAGGCACAGUUUGAUUAUGGGUUGUCACCCUGAUGACAGAUGAAAGCAGGGAUGUGUUACUUCAAGAUGCAGCUGAAAGAAGAAUAUCUUAUUGCUGUUGCAUGAGAAAAGUUGUGAUAUCCUCCCUCCCUGUGUACUAACUUGUACUAGGCCUAUGAACAUCUGUAUUUGGAAGCACUGGAAUUUACGUCUUUUUUAUGUCUUGACUUGGAUGAAAAAUAUGUAUAUCUUCUGUCAGUUCAGACAUUACUCUAUCAUCUGCUGCAGAGAGAGCUUGGAGAGAGCUCACAAAGUUAAAUGAUCCAGUGUUCUGGAGGAUACCUGCCUACUUGCCUGUGGUAGUUGAAGGCACUUAAGAGUGCUUGCCUUACCGUACUAAGUUGCCCCUAAGAUUAGCUGGGUGGGGCUCUGUGAGAAGGGAGAGGGUGACUGAUGACUAUUGUUCUCCACAGCAGCAAGAUAAACUGCCAUUUUGACUCAGAGGAUCUGAGGUCAGUCAGAAGCCUCCCACAUCAUAAGCCUUGAGAAGCUCCAGGAAGCUGGCACCAGUGAAGAACUUAGGACCAGCAGAGUCUGUAGGUAAUAUGCUGGAAACCAGGGACUAUCCAUGGUGUGAUCUUACCCCAAAUCUACCCAUGACAGCGAUCUGUUACACCUGAUAACAUCUCAGCACCCAAAACAGUCCACUGCUAUUACCAGGCCUGGAUUGACGAAGUGGAAGGCAAGCUUAAGGAAUAAGUAUUGCAUUAUUAUAUUGAAUAAAUGGUAGGCUAGCAGUUGUUGUUACAGAUUAAGUAGGGUCUCAAUGACUUAACACCCAUGGAAUCUCUGCCUGUUGUCUUCUCCUCUUAGUCUACUCUCCACCUUAAUCUCUUUUUUUAUAACCUCAAUUUUAUUGUAAGUAAUAUUGUGUGUAUUCAGCAAGUAGGUUUACUUGCUGAUCACCAUAAACUCAACUGCCACUGGUAGUUGGGGAGGUACCAGAAUCCCUCCGGGGAGAGCCACAGGAGACUCUUCUGCUCUGAAAGGUUAGGGUACCUCAUCAAGAACUAAGUAGUAUGGCAUCUGUGGAGGGUCACUAGAGGUUGAUUACCUUGUUUUUGUACCAUGGACUGCAUUAGGCUGAAAUGACUUGUCUAAGAUCUUAAAACAAGGCAGUGACAGAACUGGAAAUAAUCUCUGAAGGUAAAUGCUAUUUGUAGCAUAUUUUCUACCAUUAUUGCUUUUUUGGGUGGUUUCUGGUUGAUUACUGCAAAUGGAAAAAAUAAAAUAAAAUUUCUGCAUUACUGAACUUUUGGCAUCCACAUUUGAUUUUAAAUCCAAGGAUGUCUGUGUCUGUCUUAUGUCACUACUGAUCCACUUUCUUAAAUCCACCUUACAUGUCCUACAGAAAUGGGUUUAGACAUUAAAAUCAUCUGUCCUGCCUUCUCCUGUGCAUCCUGGAGUUACAAUAGUAAUGCUGUACAAAACACAACCCUAUUGUCAUAGAGGUAGUAAUAUUAGGUGUUAGGCUUGUGAAUAAAAGGGAGAGUUUAUACUGUUUUCUAGUAAAUCAGAAGAAUGGUGAGAUGUUUACUCACAAAAGGUAUCUUGCCUGGUUUCUGCAUACUUGAUACUACAUUGGCAGUUGUGAAACUAGAAAUUACUGUUGUGUUUUUACACAAAAGGAGAAAUUCUGCAAGAGAAAAUUUAAUGCAAUUUGGACCACUUUGUAGUCUUCAGAAUCUGCCACAUUUUCCCUGCCACCCAAAUUAUUUAAAUUAUAAGUAGUUUUGCAAGGCUGUUAGUAUUAUUUUCUCAGCUCACCCAAAGUUUUUGCAAGACUUAUUAUCUAUGAUGAAUCACAACAUCUUUUAUUCAUAUAGUUAUAAGUGCAUUAAAGCUGUCAGGUAUAAUUUGCCGCUUUUUCUUCUUUUGAUUCAGCAUGCUUUCUGAAAAGAAGCUAAUUUAAUAACUAGAGAAUCUAAGUUUUAUAAUCAAAUUUGUUAUAUUUACCAGACCUGAAUUUCAGAUGGGAUAACAUUAAAAAUGUGCUUGAAAAGAGCAGAAUUGCCAGUGGGCAUUGAAUUAGCAGCCUGAAAAAUAUCUAAUAAUGUUGUGAUCAAGAGUGUUAUGAUGAUGAGAGAAGGAAGAGGAAUUCCGUUUGUCUUUAUCUGUAACUUUUACAUAUUGUGCAAACUGAAAUGAAGGGUAGAACUUCAGCCCAAAGCUUCAAUUCAGGGGAAAGAGUGUUCUGUUUUUAGAUUUUUUAGUGAUUUUCAGUGUGCCUAUAUAACGUGGUGCUGCAACACUGCCUACAAAUCUCUAAAUUACUGCUAGAGAAGUAGAUGCUGCUGUUUAUGUGCAUAUACGAGCACUUGCCAUUGUACACUGGGUGCCAGAUGUAAUCCCAUGAGUUCUGCAUCCAACAAAUUUCUGCUGAAUUCUGGAUGAGGUUUGUGCUUGUAAGGCUUCUGGAUCAAGGUUUCCUGUCAGAAAGUGCUCUAUAAAAGGCCUGUUCAAAAUGAACAGAACAAAAACCCAACAAAAGCAAGUCUUUUCCUCUUGCUCAUGUUAGUCUCCUCUGACUCUUGGUCUCCUAACCCUCUUAACCAAGUUUGUGGCACAGAUUGUAUUUUAUUUACAGAUAUAGGUUAAGACAGCCUGUUAUUUUGCAAUCACAUUAGUUUUAUUUGUACUGUGGAGAUUUUUAAUUCCCAAAGGUGCUGCCAGUUUUUGGGUACACAAUUUAAGUUUAAGCAGAGUUUUUGUUUUUCCCAAGGACUUCUACAGACUUUCAGAUAUUUAAAAUAUGAAGUUGUGGUUCUCUUUGAUUCAUCGUCUGUUAAAGAAUGUUGGCUGUACUAAAACUGGCAAUGAGGCUAAACAAGAAUAAAAAACAAGUAUUCCAGAGAACCAAAAUAUGGUAGAGUAUUUGUCUUCUGAAGGUAUGUUACCACUUAGCAAACACUGAGAAUAAUGACCACACAAAUACAAACAAAGAAAAUUCAAAAAAUCUCUGAAAUUUUGCUUAAUAUUGAAAAGCUUAAUUGAAGGAAGAGCUCGUGUUUUGAACAUUUCUAUUGAGCUUUUUGCACAAAAGAGAUCGUAUGGAUGUGAUACAUCAUUGACAGGACACAGUAAGUCAACUGUUCAUCUGGCUCUGCUGUAGCUCCAGACUUGCACAGCUGAGAAUGUUCACAUCUGGAGGAGAGGAUGAUAUAUUAACUGCAUGCAUUUCAGAAGAUGUGUGUCCUACAAUGCAGAGGCCUUGAUGCUGAAGGUAGUUUUGACAAAGAAUUUGUGGCACAGGGGCCAUAGCUGAUACAAAGAUACAGGGUUUAGCUCUAGAAUUCCAUAUUCUUUUAGUCUCUGUUUUACACAUAUAGUUCUUUGAGAAAUCUCAUAGUUUAAGGAUGACAAAUUUCUUAAAAAAGUCGAAGAGGAUCAGAUUGUUAGACAAGAACACCUGAAUGAACUUUUCAUGGAAGGAUAGGAACAAGACCAAAUGUCGUAAUACCCAGUGCAGGGUCACUAGGUAUUAAUAUUAUUAAGGGCAAAAUGCUAGAAAUCUGCACCAAAUGCUCAAUGAUUCAGAGCUUGAGGACUCCGUACAUGAAUGAGUAUUUCUUGCUUCUGUCAUCAAACAGCCACACCAAAGCAUGACUAAGAUGAAAGGCAAGGCUGCAGUGGAAUUUGAAGCUGAGAUGGCUCCAUACUGAGAGCAGAACUGGAGAUGAGAUCAAAGAUGAUUGAAUUGAGUUGAUUGCACCUUCCUGAAAAGGUAAAGAAGCAGGAAAGUGUAAGAACCUUUCAAUAAUUACAAGCAAUUAGAGGGAAAAAACCAAACCCCAGAAGACGAGAUGUAAAAACAGCUUACGUGACGUUGCAAUCUCAUAGUUUAUGUUGUCAGCAAAAAGAGGUUGGAUGAAUUUCUGCAGACUCAACAGUAAUUGCCAUGCGGCAGCAGUUAGUACUAUUGAAAUGCUGGAACUGAAGGGAACCAGCUAGCCUGUAGUGACUGGGAACAGAUGUCCUCCGAAGAGCAUGAGACAGCAUUCUGCAGUGUGAGAGAAAUCUUUGCCUAUCAGUCUAAACUGGUGACUAGUUUGGUGGACUGGGACAAGUAUCUCUCAUGAGAUAGGAAUUUUACAUUUUUCCUUCUUUUGUGUCACUAGAUACCUAGUCUGGUUCUCAGUGGAGAUGUAACAGUCUAUUUUUGUAAAUGCAGCCUAAUGGACUUUAAUUUUUAGCAGUUACAUAUAUUCGAAAUAUCAGCAUUAGGACUAACAGGGAUGCCUGCAUUUGUGGAUAUAUUCAAGGAGUUUAAUGUCAGGAAUAGUUCCUCUCCAUCUUAGUGUGAAUUAAUGUUUUGUAACGAUCUGGAUGUAACUGACCUUGAGUUGAGCAGUUUAUAUUCCCUGUUGGAUUAAGAGGGGUUAAGCUCAUGCAGUUCUAUACAAUUGAGCAGUUUUAACUGGAGCCACUUGUGUGAAUCUUGCCUCAGGAGGUCUGAGGUUACUGCCUAAUAUUUUUGGCCAGUGGACAGAAGUAGGAUUUGCAUUUUCAGCCUGACAAAGAUGGGUGAAGUAUUGAGGGUCAAAGCAGCCACAGUCAGCCCUGAGUCCCCAAACACACAAUAGCUGCGAGCUGUACGCCCAUGCUACCCACCUAAAGUGAAAGGGAGGAGUCAGACUGCUCUGUCUGAUAGAAAAAGGAGUAAAGACUGUGCUUAAAUGCUGUUCAAAAGAUACAAAAAAUGUAUCAUUUUACCUUCUACUCAGGAAUAGCUUAUCUAAGAACUACUCUUGAAAGGAAUUGCUAGAAAGGCCAGUUACAGGCAGAAUUUAGUACUGAACUUUGAAAUGUUCUUCGUCUCAUGGUGUAUGUUGAUUGCAUGCUGUCUUGUUGCCUACACCAGCUUUUCUUCUCAGUUUUCUUAAGAAGAAUCAUGUGAAUAAAAAGGUACCAUGAAUAAAAAAGUACCAUGCUUAUUAGCCUUCGUGGCAGCUCAUGUCUGUUCUCCAUAACCUGGCAGGAUUACCCCUGUGACUACUCAAAUACUCUAAAGCAAAGAUCAUAGCUGUAUAUCCUAUGAAAUAGGAAACCUUCAGUGAUUUCUGUGGAUCCCAUGAAAUAGGAAACCUGUAGUGAUUUAGGCUGGGUUGACAUAAUUUUCAGAAGGGCUAAGGAGGUAUGAAGUGAUGUAAAGUGAUUAUUUUAAAUUUUCAUGUGAAAAAAAUACCACAGAUUAAUGGAAAUGUAAUCUCGCUACAAAAAGAUGAGGCCAGGAAUUUAAAACAGCCAGGAGCUUAAAAUCAGGCACUGAAAUCAUUAUCCUUACUUAGGUCAUAAGUAAAUAAAUAGUUAAAGACAUUGAGGAGUCACAUCAACCCCAUGCAACGCUAUAGAUUUGGAGAAGAGUAGCUGGGAAGCUGCCCAGAGGAAAAGAAUGUUGGGGUGCUGGUUGACGGCAGCUGAACAUGGGCCAGCAGUGUGCCCAGGUGGCCAAGAACACCAAUGGCACCCUGACCUGUAUCAGCAACAAUGUGGCCAGCAGCACCAGGGCAGUGAUUGUCCCCCUGUACUUUGCACUGGUGAGGCCACAUCUCGAGUUCUGUGUU